rnacentral:lncRNA from 1 species
GACAGAGUGCUUCGAAAGUCUGCAUUCUAGACAUUGUGAGUAAACUUACUGUCAUUUUAAUUAUCUAGGGUGGUUUUUAGAUGCUUUCAUGAAUUCUAUGGAAAAAGGAAUUUAAAAAGGUAAAUUUUCAUGUUUUAUGAAUAAAUGAGUUUCAAUGAAAUUAAUUUAUAAAUUGUUUUGGAAUUAAUAAUGAUUUUGAAAAAUAGAGUACACGGAGACUGUUAAUUGUGACAAUUUGAUUGUUUAAAUUGACUGGCUUAUGAUAAAUCGAGCAUGAUUGGCUAGUUGACAAUUGUAUUGAAAUGCGAAUUGUUUGGUUGCCUUGAAAAACUGCGAAUUACAAAAUUGCCAUAUCAUGUUAUUGAGUUUUAUUAUAUGGUGGAUUAUAUAUUAAUUAAUCACUGCAAUAGGGGG